rnacentral:rRNA from 1 species
UCGAGAAUCUUCGGCAAUGGGCGCAAGCCUGACCGAGCGACACCGCGUGCGGGAUGAAGGCCUUCGGGUUGUAAACCGCUGUCGUAGGGGAGGAAGAGUCUGCGAAGAGCAGAAUCGGACCGAUCCUAGGAGGAAGGGCCGGCUAAUCUCGUGCCAGCAGCCGCGGUAAUACGAGAGGCCCAAACGUUAUUCGGAUUUACUGGGCUUAAAGAGUUCGUAGGCGGCUUGGAAAGUGGGGUGUGAAAGCCCUCGGCUCAACCGAGGAAUUGCGCUCCAAACUACCGAGCUUGAGGAAGCUAGAGGUGAGCAGAACUGAUGGUGGAGCGGUGAAAUGCGUUGAUAUCAUCAGGAAUACCGGAGGCGAAGGCGGCACACUGGGACUUUUCUGACGCUGAGGAACGAAAGCUAGGGGAGCAAACGGGAUUAGAUACCCCGGUAGUCCUAGCCGUAAACGGUGAGCACUGGACCGGGGGCCUGCACAGGCCCUCGGUCGUAGCGAAAGUGUUAAG